rnacentral:rRNA from 1 species
UAGGGAAUAUUGGACAAUGGGUGAGAGCCUGAUCCAGCCAUGCCGCGUGCAGGAAGAAGGCGUUAUGCGUUGUAAACUGCUUUUGCCAGGUGAUAAAAUGACCGUGCGCGGUUAAUUGAAGGUACCUGGUGAAUAAGCCACGGCUAACUACGUGCCAGCAGCCGCGGUAAUACGUAGGUGGCAAGCGUUGUCCGGAUUUAUUGGGUUUAAAGGGUGCGUAGGUGGCCCUGUAAGUCAGUGGUGAAAUAUCUCAGCUUAACUGAGAGGGUGCCAUUGAUACUGCAGGGCUUGAGUACAGAUGAGGUAGGCGGAAUUGACGGUGUAGCGGUGAAAUGCAUAGAUAUCGUCAAGAACACCGAUAGCGAAGGCAGCUUACCAAGCUGUAACUGACACUGAGGCACGAAAGUGUGGGGAUCAAACAGGAUUAGAUACCCCCGUAGUCCCUGAGCGGGCUGGCAAGGCGCAU